rnacentral:rRNA from 1 species
GGACGAAAGUCUGACGGAGCAACGCCGCGUGAGUGAUGAAGGUUUUCGGAUCGUAAAACUCUGUUGUUAGGGAAGAACAAGUACCGUUCGAAUAGGGCGGUACCUUGACGGUACCUAACCAGAAAGCCACGGCUAACUACGUGCCAGCAGCCGCGGUAAUACGUAGGUGGCAAGCGUUGUCCGGAAUCAUUGGGCGUAAAGCGCGCGCAGGUGGUUCUUUAAGUCUGAUGUGAAAGCCCCCGGCUCAACCGGGGAGGGUCAUUGGAAACUGGGGAACUUGAGUGCAGAAGAGGAAAGUGGAAUUCCACGUGUAGCGGUGAAAUGCGUAGAGAUGUGGAGGAACACCAGUGGCGAAGGCGACUUUCUGGUCUGUAACUGACACUGAGGCGCGAAAGCGUGGGGAGCGAACAGGAUUAGAUACCCUGGUAGUCCACGCCGUAAACGAUGAGUGCUAAGUGUUAGGGGGUUUCCGCCCCUUAGUGCUGCAGCAAACGCAUUAAGCACUCCGCCUGGGGAGUA